rnacentral:lncRNA from 1 species
GACAACUCUGAAGAACAUGAGAGCAUAGUGUAGUGGCCAUUCCAAUGCCCUCCUGAAUGGUCUCUGCUGGUCUCAAGCUUCCUCACUCUAAUCUGUUCUCGACAGAGCCACAAAAAUGAUUUUCCUUUAUUCAACCAACUCCAGUAGCUCCCCACUAUCUCCGGGAGCAAAUCAAAAUUCCUCUGUUUGCAUGUGAAGCUCUCGUCUUCUCAACACAUCAGUUCCAUACAUUCUACAGCCCAGCCAUACUGACCGUCCUCCUGUUGCUCCCUCUACCACCUUCUAACCUUUGACUUGGCUCUCCUUCAAGCCUGGAAAUCCUCCACCUCUACUCUCUUGGCAUCACUGGCUUCCUUCAACUUCACCUAAGCAUGACCUUCAUAAGUGAUCUUUCUUGGUCCCCUCAGGGCUGCUGGUGCCUUUCCUUCUUGGUUAUCUUAUAUUUGUUCCCCAUAUCAUUAGUGGAAAGCUUCUAAGCCCUGCAUCCAGAUCUUUUUGUACCAGCAUCAUUGCCAAGAAGAGCCUCCAGUGAAAGAUCAUUAGAUGGAGGGCAGUUAAGUGACUGAAAAUAGAAUAGGCUAAAUUGUGCCAUAAAUGAGAGGAGGGAGGAAAGGAGAGGUUUUGAGUUCAAUCUGCAUUUAUAGAAUUUUAUGCUAAAAAAAGCACAAGGAUUUUUCUGACCACACAUGAGUGAAAUAGACCUGCAAUGAGAGCCAUUCACCCUGAUCACCACCUCCAGUGCCUCUGUCCAAAAAGGGCAGAAAAGGAUCGGCUUUGAUUCAGCUCAAUGCAAUUCAUCAACAAUUUGUAGACUGUCUAUUAUGUAUGAGUCAAUGGGGAAGACACAAGUAUGAAGUAGACCCAGGAGUGAGCAGGAGCCAGCCCUUACCAGCUUUCAAUGUUAAUUGUUAAAUUUUCCAGCAUGAGCAUUUGUGUCCUAGAAAUUGGCAAAUGCUACAAAUCAGGACUUGAUUUAUAAUUUGGUUGAUCCUCUAAACUUAAGAAAGUGAUGGUGAAAUUCUAAAUGAUAAAGAUUAAACUUAUAAGUGUGUCUUGGGUAAUUUUUCUACCUGGAGAGCCGAUUGUUAAAUGAUAUUUAGUUAGGUG